UACUUCGUCUUUCACACUUAAACUAUGACUCUAUAUUUUACAAGUUCUAUUUUGAUAUUUAAUGGUCACAUUACUCACUUAGGACUGCAAGCAGUAGCUCAAAGUGAGAAAACUAAAGCAUGCUAACAUGGUGAAAGCUAAAAAUAGCUCAAGAGAUUUUCUUAUCGCCAGAAACACUUUCUUCUACCCUAGGAUUAAGUUGUUUCUAACAUGGU
rnacentral:lncRNA from 1 species